UACGAAGGACCCGAGCGUUAUCCGGAUUCACUGGGUUUAAAGGGUGCGUAGGUGGGCAGGUAAGUCAGUGGUGAAAUCUCCGGGCUUAACCCGGAAACUGCCAUUGAUACUAUUUGUCUUGAAUACCGUGGAGGUCAGCGGAAUAUGUCAUGUAGCGGUGAAAUGCUUAGAUAUGACAUAGAACACCAAUUGCGAAGGCAGCUGGCUACACGAAUAUUGACACUGAUGCACGAAAGCGUGGGGAUCAAACAGG
rnacentral:rRNA from 1 species